UACGUAGGGUGCGAGCGUUGUCCGGAAUUAUUGGGCGUAAAGAGCUUGUAGGCGGUUUGUCGCGUCUGCUGUGAAAUCCCGAGGCUCAACCUCGGGUCUGCAGUCGAUACGAGCAAACUAGAGUGUUGCAGGGGAGACUGGAAUUCCUGGUGUAGCGGUGAAAUGCGCAGAUAUCAGGAGGAACACCAAUGGCGAAGGCAGAUCUCUGGGCCGUAACUGACGCUGAGGAGCGAAAGCGUGGGGAGCAAACAGG
rnacentral:rRNA from 1 species